rnacentral:lncRNA from 1 species
AUGACAUACAUUUCUCUGUUUUUAAGUAUAUGUUUAUAAAUUUCUAUUUUGCCAUCUUUCCAUGAAUUGUAUUAGUGAUUAUUAAGAAAAUACAUCUUUUGUAUGUAUUCAGAGGGGGUGUGCUCAUUUAUGCUGUGCACUGUACAUAUUCCUUUCAACUGCUGCAAACUUUAAACUGUUCUUAUCAUCCUUUCAGCCAAGAAUGACUCAGACACAGAGGUGAAUUCAAGGUAAGACUGCUGGAUGUUGUUCAUUUUAUUCAUUGUUCUCUGCGAUGAGCUGGCGAUUUAGUUUUAUCACAUGGUACAUGACUGGAGCAUUUCAACAGCCUCAUCAAAUCACAUGCUUUCUUUUACCAUUUUCUUUAUAAGGACUAUCCACUAAACAUUCUUUUAGUUUACUUUUGCAUGUACGUUGGCAAAGUUUUUUGGUAAAUCCAGGCUAUAAGCAUGAAUUAUGAACAGGAAAUAUAAAAAAAUAGAAAGUACACCACUCUUUCAGUUUGGGAGACCUCAUUGUUUCCUGUCAUGUCUUUGGCAUGCAGUGGCCUGAAGGAAAACGAUGGUGACUCAGAUAUGAGCAGUGAUGAAGCUGACAGCCCCAGCAGGUAUGAGGGGGCGGAGUUUAAGAGUUCUCUGAGAAACUUUGAACUGUCUGAAAGCAAAAGGACACGCCUCCGAGAACUUGAGGUGAAGGUGAUGAAUUUCCAGGAUGAGUUGGAAUCGAGUAAGAGACAGAGGAAGUCCAGUAUGACUCUCCAACAGCAAGUUCAACACUACAGAAACAGACUGCUACAGAAGGAGUUUGACAAGGACGACCAGGAAAAGAAAGACAAAUAUUCACAAAAACAGAAAGACCGGUCCAAAAAAGACGAGCGGAGAGAUAAAGGGGAGGACAGGAGUAAAACAAGGGAUAAAGAAAAAAGUAGAAAGAGUGAGGACCGAGAAAGGAGUAGAGGAAGGAGUCGAGACAAAGAAGAGAGGAGAGAGAGGUAUGCACUCAUCUCUCUCUCUCACACACACACACACACACACACACACAGAGUUUAUUACAUUCCAUUAUCAUUCAAAAACAAUUAUUCACAAUACCUUGACCCAGCACAAUGCAUCAAGUUUUCAGCGACAAGUAAUUUUGUCCCCUUGGAAUUAUAAGGUUCUAUCUGACAUUUUUGUCAAAAUUAAGUUAUUCACAUAUUCUUAUUCUGUGACAACUUGUAUACAUAAUGUGAUAGAUUUUUUAAUGUUGUGUAAUUUUAGGCCUUUUUAUUUAAAAAAACAAAAAGGUUCUAUCUACACAGUCGAACUUUGAAGCUCAAUAUCUCAAAAUUACUCGGAAUGCAGAUAGAACAUUAUAAUACCAAGGGGACGAUUUGUCUAUUCACACUAAAAUCAAACAACACUUACAGCCAAUCAGAGCAGAGACUACCGUUCAAAUGUUUGGGGUUGGUAAGAUUUUUUUGAAAUGUUUUUAAAAAACCCACAUC